rnacentral:rRNA from 1 species
AACGCGAAGAACCUUACCUACCCUUGACAUGUACGGAAGCCUCCAGAGAUGGGGGUGUGCCCGAAAGGGAGCCGUAACACAGGUGCUGCAUGGCUGUCGUCAGCUCGUGUCGUGAGAUGUUGGGUUAAGUCCCGCAACGAGCGCAACCCUUGUCCCUAGUUGCUACGCAAGGGCACUCUAGGGAGACUGCCGGUGACAAACCGGAGGAAGGUGGGGAUGACGUCAAGUCCUCAUGGCCCUUAUGGGUAGGGCUUCACACGUCAUACAAUGGCCGGUACAGAGGGUUGCCAAAGCGCGAGCUGGAGCCAAUCCCAGAAAGCCGGUCGUAGUCCGGAUUGCAGUCUGCAACUCGACUGCAUGAAGUCGGAAUCGCUAGUAAUCGCGGAUCAGCAUGUCGCGGUGAAUACGUUCCCGGGCUUGUA